AUGACAAAGUAAUCAAAAACUACACACCUUGAGGAGCCUUGGCAAUUUACAUGGCAAAGCAAAGAAGAUACGGGCUUUGUGCCUCCUAGCAGCCAGCGGGAGGCUUUUCCAUCAGCCCCAGAGAAGCCAAGAUUUCAUCCAGAGUAGCUUUGAAGAGCUUUUGACUAAAGUAGACCCAUAGAAGAGGUACAGCAAGAGGAGAUGACAAUUAGCAAGUGGGAGUGCAGAGUAUGGUACGGGGCUUGCACUGAUGCUUCACGCUCUUGAUUGCACUCGUUCCUGCUCACCGUCUACUUGGAGACCUCUAGAGAAGGUGCUGGACAUGCCAACUUCACUGCUGAAGCUGUUCUGCUGAUAUCGACCUGCAUAAUUCCCUUCACAGCUGCAGCCAGAGAUAUCAUUAUAUAUACAGAAUGAAGAUCAAAUUCCGUGUUGGUACAUCCAGCAGGGAAAUGUUUCAAAGGACCGAGCUGGCCAGUAUCUGUCAGGCUAUCUUCUCCUUUUCUGCCCAACCUUUCCUUUCAUGUUGCGCAUAUCCUAAAGGAUGUUUUAAGUACAUUGCAGGUGAAGAAGCAGUGUUAUUUCAGGGGAAAACAUAUUUUUUUGGCCAUUGUUAAAAAUCCCAUAACGGGAAGACGUGACCUCAGCAGCGAUCUCUACAUCCACUACCUUGAAACCCUACCACACCUGCAAGCUGGAAGAAACAACAAAUUCUAGUUUGUGUCAAAAUCUAGCAGAUUACCAUAAGCUCUUCUGUCCUUGCUGCAGUUUUAAACUGGUGAUCCUUUAUUAUUCAAUCCCAUCUGCAUCAGAGACUGAAUAAAGUUGUGCUUUUCUCAACCCGAACAGUCUAGGAUAAGAAUGUCAGCAGCAGAAAUAUGCUCCAUGUGUAAGAUCUCAGGCAAAAUGAUUUUGUAGUCUUGUACACUAAGUUGUUUUUCUUUCCUGUCUUAACCAGCAUGGUGAGAAAACGGUGAGAGGGAAAAUGUGUGCACCUGGGUUACUCUAGAAAGGCCCAGCAGCAAACAUUAUGAAGUCUGCCAUGAAAUGUUUAUCAGUCUAAUUACCAUUACAGUGUAAUGGUUCUCUGGAUGAAUCUUGAAAUCAAGUGCGAAACUCUUUGAUUUAA